GAUGAACGCUGGCGGCGUGCCUAAUACAUGCAAGUCGAGCGAACAGACGAGGAGCUUGCUCCUCUGACGUUAGCGGCGGACGGGUGAGUAACACGUGGAUAACCUACCUUUAAGACUGGGAUAACUUCGGGAAACCGGAGCUAAUACCGGAUAAUAUAUUGAACCGCAUGGUUCAAUAGUGAAAGACGGUUUUGCUGUCACUUAUAGAUGGAUCCGCGCCGCAUUAGCUAGUUGGUAAGGUAACGGCUUACCAAGGCGACGAUGCGUAGCCGACCUGAGAGGGUGAUCGGCCACACUGGAACUGAGACACGGUCCAGACUCCUACGGGAGGCAGCAGUAGGGAAUCUUCCGCAAUGGGCGAAAGCCUGACGGAGCAACGCCGCGUGAGUGAUGAAGGUCUUCGGAUCGUAAAACUCUGUUAUUAGGGAAGAACAAAUGUGUAAGUAACUAUGCACGUCCUGACGGUACCUAAUCAGAAAGCCACGGCUAACUACGUG
rnacentral:rRNA from 1 species